rnacentral:rRNA from 1 species
AUUGUUCGCAAUGGGCGCAAGCCUGACGACGCAACGCCGCGUGGAGGAUGAAGGUCUUCGGAUUGUAAACUCCUGUUGAUCGGGAAGAAUGGCCCUCGGGUAAAUACCCCGAGGGAAUGACGGUACCGAUUGAGGAAGCCACGGCUAACUCUGUGCCAGCAGCCGCGGUAAUACAGAGGUGGCAUGCGUUGUUCGGAAUUACUGGGCGUAAAGGGCGCGUAGGUGGCUCUCUCAGUCAGACGUGAAAUCCCCAGGCUUAACCUGGGAACUGCGUCUGAUACUAGAGAGCUUGAGUUCGGGAGAGGGAUGUGGAAUUCCAGGUGUAGCGGUGAAAUGCGUAGAUAUCUGGAGGAACACCGGUGGCGAAGGCGGCAUCCUGGACCGAAACUGACACUGAGGCGCGAAAGCCAGGGGAGCAAAC